AGCAAAACAAAAAACAUGUGUGGCUGAACCCGCUGAGCGUCGUCGUGACAAGAGACGAACAACUACUUGUUGAUUUGGAAAUUUCAUUAAUUUAAUUUAAAAAAAUUCACAUUUAAUAAUUAUUUAUCGAAAUGAACGGUGAACCCGUCGAUUUCCUUUCUAUUUCCGACGCUGCGAAAGUAAAACUUAAGGACGCCGGAGCCGUUCUCGUUCAAAACGUUCUGGGUGAUCGAGUGUCGUUCGAAGCGAUCCCGACCUCCGAGCACCGAGACGAUGAAAUUUACCUCAAACAACUUAAAACGCCGAUCCCUGUGAUCUCUUGUUUUGAUCUGCUGCAGAAGCAAGGUGAACGGUUAAAAAGUGGAUCUGAGAAGCUCGACGAGUUAUUGGACGGAGGAUUCAAACCUGGGUCUCUGACGGAAAUAUCUGGCUUGCCUGGAUCUGGGAAAACUCAAUUUUGUCUACAACUUUGUGCUGUUUGCCAGAGACCAGAAAAUUUUGGUGGCCGUCCAGGUCAAGCUUUGUUCGUCGACUUAAACUUUGGCUUUUCCAAGUCUCGCUAUGAAGGAAUAAGAAAAUAUUUUAUCGAUCAGGAAAAAGAAUUGGAUCCAAUUAUUUUACGCAUUUCAACAACCAAUCAAUUAUUGGCAGCAAUUGAGUCUUUUCCGGAUAUUUUGCUGAACAAUGAUAAAAUAAGACUGAUUAUAAUUGACUCGUUCAGUCGACCGUUCAUGUUUGAUCAAGUUUCCUCGACUCUGAUGUCAGGAAUUAUGAUGGACUUGCACUCUGUGGCAGAGGAUUUUGAUUUAGUAUCAGUUAAUUACCAACUUGAGCAGCGAUCAAGAGGAGGCAAUAAAACAUCAACCAGCGCUACGCAGUGGUUACUUGUAUUAUAUCAACGAAAGGAUUAUGUUUUACGGAUCUCAUGAAAAACGAGAAAUUAUAUUUCCUGACAAGCUGGAUGGUGUUGCUGCAAUUUAUGAGAUCUCAAACAGUGGGUUUGUGUUAAAAUAAAGUACACUUUCUUAAAUAAAUUAUGAAUAUUUUUGUAGUUUCGCCACAUUAAUUCAAAUAUAUGCUUUGGUUUGAUUAGAUCUUAAUUAAAAAAUUGGCUUCAUGCUGCAGUCGUAAUUUCAUCAAUAAAUUAAUCAUUUCUUUUUCCGAUGUAUUACGAUAUUUUUUGAUACAAAUUAAAUUAA